GACGUAGGGUGCAAGCGUUGUCCGGAUUUAUUGGGCGUAAAGAGCUCGUAGGCGGCUCGUCGCGUCGACCGUGAAAACCCGCAGCUUAACUGCGGGCCUGCGGUUGAUACGGGCGGGCUAGAGUUCGGUAGGGGAGACUGGAAUUCCUGGUGUAGCGGUGAAAUGCGCAGAUAUCAGGAGGAACACCGGUGGCGAAGGCGGGUCUCUGGGCCGAUACUGACGCUGAGGAGCGAAAGCGUGGGGAGCGAACAGG
rnacentral:rRNA from 1 species